CUUGGGACUCAGCUGCAUCUAUAUCUGGGGGUUCUCAAAAUGCACAUGGGGACCAUCCACCACAGCUGGAGCCCUCCUCUGGCAUGGAAAAUACAGAGUUUCAUCUACCCCAAAAAUGUAUAAAACAAGAGACAAGUGAGGACAUUCUAAGUGCAGAUACAGCUUGCCUUAUGCCCUUAUUUGUUCUGCACUGACCCCAGCCUCUGUUGACCUGAGGAGAUACAGCUGAUCAGGAGCUUUUCACAUGGCACCACAAAGCACACUUCACAAUAUUGGCUACACUCUAACUGCAGUUUACAGUUGAACUUUAAUAGGUGAUUUUCACCUUUCCUUCCAGAAAAACUAGCAAGUAUCUCCAGUAGCAAGUAAAAACUUGAUUGAGCUAAAUUAUUUGAAGAAAAAUAAAUUCCAGUUUUCUACAUGUUUUACAAAGCUUCCUCUCCUCCUGUCUAACAUUUAUUUCUAAAAUCAAAACAGGUCCUGUAGCCCACAUGUGAAUAGAGAAACCUUGCAGCAUUUACAGAAGCUAUCACAUGGUUGUACACGCAUCAUGAUUUUCAGAGGAAAGCAUAUUACUUCUCUGAGAAGCAACUUUCUUUUGAGGAUGGCAUGUGAGCAUUCAAGAUGGAUGUGAUACGGAUCACCAACUAAGGUCUCCUACCUGCUCUCAACCUCUGGGGAGUUUUCCAAAGUUGUGCUGAUGCUGAAUUACUUCAUGAACAUGCCAACAGUUUGGGAGACAUAAGAGUCACCUGCAAUACACUGCUUAAGAUAAUGACUACCAUUAAAAAGUUUCCAUUUGCCUGUGAAAAGACUACAGUUUACUGCACAUACCUUACAAGUGGCACUUCUGCUAAAAUUCUCUAUUGGACUAUACAAUUCUAGUGAAUAACAAUGCCUAGCUCACUGUGUGUCCACAGCAUAUGCCACAUUAUGCCCACGAUCUCACCUUUGGCCUUUGGAUCUUAGCAUACUAAGCAGUGUUGCAGCUAUUAACAUAACACAAAAAUAACGAUUGAGCAAGGAUUUGCCAAAUUACAAUUUGAUCCAUCAGUCACUUGGCAACACAAAGUGUGCAGCUCUCAGACAGCCACUUUCAUAUCUGCCCCAGAUAAGUUUUAGACUAUGUCAAAACAGAAGGAUAUUUGCAUUUUCCAGGAGUAUUUAAUAAAAGGGGGGAAGUAUUUGCA
rnacentral:lncRNA from 14 species